GAUGAACGCUGGCGGCGUGCCUAAUACAUGCAAGUCGAGCGGAAGGACGAGCAUUUUGUUUUUGUGAUGGUAUCCGCGGACGGGUAAGUGGCGCGUAGAUAGCCUAUCUAUAAGACUGGACUAAGUUCGAGAAACGGGAGCUAGGACCGGAUAAUAUUUUGAACCGCAUGGUUCAACAGUGAAAGGCAGACUUGCUUUCACUUAUAGAGGGAUCCGCGCUGCAUUAGCUACUUGGUAAGGUAACGGCUAACCAAGGCAACGAUGCAUAGCCGACCUGAGAGGGAGAGCGGGCACACUGGAACUGAGACACGGUCCAGACUCCGACGGGAAGCAGCAGUAGGAGUGCUGCCGCAAGGGGCGAAAGCCUGACGGAGCAGCGCCGCGUGAGUGAUGAAGGUCUUCGGAUUGUAAAUCUCUGUUAUUAGGGAAGAACAUAAGUGUAAGUAACUGGGCACAUCUUGACGGUACCUAAACAGAAAGCCACGGCUAACUACGUG
rnacentral:rRNA from 1 species